UACAUGGGGGUGCAAACGUUGCUCGGAAUUAUUGGGCGUAAAGCGCACGUAGGCGGUUCGUUAAGUCGGAUGUGAAAGCCCUCGGCUCAACUGAGGAAGUGCACCCGAAACUGGCGAGCUUGAGUACGAAAAGAGGAUCGCGGAAUUCCCGGUGUAGAGGUGAAAUUCGUAGAUAUCGGGAGGAACACCGGUGGCGAAGGCGGCGAUCUGGGUCGAUACUGACGCUGAGGUGCGAAAGCGUGGGGAGCAAACAGG
rnacentral:rRNA from 1 species